rfam:Camelus ferus unplaced genomic scaffold scaffold743, whole genome shotgun sequence.
GAGCAUGUAGCUCAAGUACUAGAGUGCAUGCUUAGCAUGCAUGAGGUCCUGGGUUCAAUCCCCAGUGCCUCCU